GAGGAAUAUUGGUCAAUGGACGGAAGUCUGAACCAGCCAAGUAGCGUGCAGGAUGACGGCCCUAUGGGUUGUAAACUGCUUUUGUAUGGGGAUAAAGUCAAUCACGUGUGAUUGUUUGCAGGUACCAUACGAAUAAGGACCGGCUAAUUCCGUGCCAGCAGCCGCGGUAAUACGGAAGGUUCGGGCGUUAUCCGGAUUUAUUGGGUUUAAAGGGAGCGUAGGCCGGAGAUUAAGUGUGUUGUGAAAUGUAGACGCUCAACGUCUGACUUGCAGCGCAUACUGGUUUUCUUGAGUACGCACAACGUUGGCGGAAUUCGUCGUGUAGCGGUGAAAUGCUUAGAUAUGACGAAGAACUCCGAUUGCGAAGGCAGCUGACGGGAGCGCAACUGACGCUUAAGCUCGAAGGUGCGGGUAUCGAACAGGAUUAGAUACCCUGGUAGUCCGCACAGUAAACGAUGGAUGCCCGCUGUUGGUACCUGGUAUCAGCGGCUAAGCGAAAGCAUUAAGCAUCCCACCUGGGGAGUACGCCGGCAACGGUG
rnacentral:rRNA from 1 species